rnacentral:rRNA from 1 species
AGUUUGAUCCUGGCUCAGGAUGAACGCUAGCGGCAGGCUUAACACAUGCAAGUCGAGGGGCAUCGGGAGGGAAGCUUGCUUUCCUUGCCGGCGACCGGCGCACGGGUGAGUAACACGUAUGCAACCUGCCCUCUUCAGGGGGACAACCUUCCGAAAGGGAGGCUAAUCCCGCGUAUAUCGGUUUCGGGCAUCCAAGAUCGAGGAAAGAUUCAUCGGAAGAGGAUGGGCAUGCGGCGCAUUACCUAGACGGCGGGGUAACGGCCCACCGUGGCGACGAUGCGUAGGGGUUCUGAGAGGAAGGUCCCCCACACUGGUACUGAAACACAGACCAGACUCCUACGGGAGGCAGCAGUGAGGAAUAUUGGUCAAUGGGAGAGAUCCUGAACCAGCCAAGCCGCGUGAGGGAAGACGGCCCUAUGGGUUGUAAACCUCUUUUGUCGGAGAACAAAACCCGGGACGAGUCCCGGACUGCGUGUAUCCGAAGAAAAAGCAUCGGCUAACUCCGUGCCAGCAGCCGCGGUAAUACGGAGGAUGCGAGCGUUAUCCGGAUUUAUUGGGUUUAAAGGGUGCGUAGGCGGUCCGUUAAGUCAGCGGUAAAAUUGCGGGGCUCAACCCCGUCGAGCCGUUGAAACUGGCAGACUUGAGUUGGCGAGAAGUACGCGGAAUGCGCGGUGUAGCGGUGAAAUGCAUAGAUAUCGCGCAGAACUCCGAUUCGCGAAGGCAGCGUAACGGCGCCAGACUGACGCUGAGGCACGAAAGCGUGGGGAUCAAACAGGAAUAAAUACCCCUGGUAGUCCCCCCCAUUAACCCAUGAAUGCUGGUUGGCCCGGUCGAAGAAAACUGGGCGGCCAAACCAAACUAUAAGCAUUCCCCCUUGGGAGUCCCCCGGCGACGGUGAAACUCAAAGGAAUUGACGGGGGCCCGCACAAGCGGAGGAACAUGUGGUUUAUUUCGGUGAUACGCGAGGAACCUUACCCGGGCUCAAACGGGAGUGGAAUGGACCAGAGACGGUUCAGCCUACGGGCCGCUUCCGAGGUGCUGCAUGGUUGUCGUCAGCUCGUGCCGUGAGGUGUCGGCUUAAGUGCCAUAACGAGCGCAACCCCCGCCGGCAGUUGCUAACGGGCAAUGCCGAGGACUCUGCCGGGACUGCCGCCGCAAGGCGUGAGGAAGGCGGGGAUGACGUCAAAUCAGCACGGCCCUUACGUCCGGGGCGACACACGUGUUACAAUGGGCGGUACAGCGGGAAGCCAGGCGGCGACGCCGAGCGGAACCCGAAAGCCGUUCUCAGUUCGGAUCGGAGUCUGCAACCCGACUCCGUGAAGCUGGAUUCGCUAGUAAUCGCGCAUCAGCCAUGGCGCGGUGAAUACGUUCCCGGGCCUU